rnacentral:rRNA from 1 species
AUGAACGCUGGCGGCGUGCCUCAUACAUGCAAGUCGAGCGAACAGACGAGGAGCUUGCUCCUCUGACGUUAGCGGCGGACGGGUGAGUAACACGUGGAUAACCUACCUAUAAGACUGGGAUAACUUCGGGAAACCGGAGCUAAUACCGGAUAAUAUAUUGAACCGCAUGGUUCAAUAGUGAAAGACGGUUUUGCUGUCACUUAUAGAUGGAUCCGCGCCGCAUUAGCUAGUUGGUAAGGUAACGGCUUACCAAGGCAACGAUGCGUAGCCGACCUGAGAGGGUGAUCGGCCACACUGGAACUUAGACACGGUCCAGACUCCUACGGGAGGCAGCAGUAGGGAAUCUUCCGCAAUGGGCGAAAGCCUGACGGAGCAACGCCGCGUGAGUGAUGAAGGUCUUCGGAUCGUAAAACUCUGUUAUUAGGGAAGAACAAAUGUGUAAGUAACUAUGCACGUCUUGACGGUACCUAAUCAGAAAGCCACGGCUAACUACGUG